rnacentral:rRNA from 1 species
GCUUAACACAUGCAAGUCGAACGGAGUUUACAUGUGAGCGGAGGGUGCUUGCAUCUAACAAUCUUUUGUAAACUUAGUGGCGGACGGGUGAGUAACGCGUGGGUAACCUGCCCUAUGCAGGGGGAUAACAUUUGGAAACGAAUGCUAAUACCGCAUAAUGCAGUUGAGUCGCAUGGCUCUGACUGCCAAAGAUUUAUCGCUCUGAGAUGGCCUCGCGUCUGAUUAGAUAGUUGGUGAGGUAACGGCUCACCAAGUCGACGAUCAGUAGCCGGACUGAGAGGUUGGCCGGCCACAUUGGGACUGAGACACGGCCCAGACUCCUACGGGAGGCAGCAGUGGGGAAUAUUGGGCAAUGGGCGCAAGCCUGACCCAGCAACGCCGCGUGAAGGAAGAAGGCUUUCGGGUUGUAAACUUCUUUUGUCAGGGACGAAUAAAUGACGGUACCUGACGAAUAAGCCACGGCUAACUACGUG